AGGUGGAGAAACGAUCAUCCUCAACAGUCACACCAUUCAUCUCCUCCACCUACACAUCCUACUUUUGCAUCACCACCCUCCCAAAAGCCGAAUAUCGAGGAUACCUUGCAAUCUAUACAAACUUUUCUACAAGGUCAAGCUAAUAUCAAUGCUCAAAAUACUCGAAAUUUUGAAGAUAUAAGGAACCAAUUGUCAAUGUUGACUACCGUC
rnacentral:lncRNA from 1 species